rnacentral:rRNA from 1 species
UACGGAGGGAGCUAGCGUUGUUCGGAAUUACUGGGCGUAAAGCGCGCGUAGGCGGCUUUGUAAGCUAGAGGUGAAAGCCCGGGGCUCAACCCCGGAAUUGCCUUUAAGACUGCAUCGCUUGAAUCCGGGAGAGGUGAGUGGAAUUCCGAGUGUAGAGGUGAAAUUCGUAGAUAUUAGGAAGAACACCGGUGGCGAAGGCGGCCCACUGGAUCGGUACUGACGCUGAGGUGCGAAAGCGUGGGGAGCAAACAGG